GUGUCAGCAGCCGCGGUAAUACAGAGGGUGCGAACGUUGUUCGGAAUCACUGGGCAUAAAGCGCACGUAGGCGGCACCGCAAGUGUGGGGUGAAAUCCCACGGCUUACCCGUGGAACUGCCUGGCAGACUGCGGUGCUAGAGGUUGGUAGGGGAGAGCGGAACUCUUGGUGGAGCGGUGAAAUGCGUAGAUAUCAAGAGGAACACCGGUGGCGAAGGCGGCUCUCUGGUCCAAUCCUGACGCUGAGGUGCGAAAGCUAGGGGAGCAAACGGGAUUAGAUACCCCCGUAGUCC
rnacentral:rRNA from 1 species